UGCAAGUCGAACGAGACCUUCGGGUCUAGUGGCGCACGGGUGAGUAACGCGUGGAAACCUACCAUUCUGUACGGAAUAACGAUUGGAAACGAUCGCUAAUACCGUAUACGCCCUGUGGGGGAAAGGUCCGCCGCAGAAUGAGGGGUCCGCGUCCGAUUAGCUUGUUGGUGGGGUAAAAGCCUACCAAGGCGAUGAUCGGUAGCUGGUCUGAGAGGAUGAUCAGCCACACUGGGACUGAGACACGGCCCAGACUCCUACGGGAGGCAGCAGUGGGGAAUAUUGGACAAUGGGGGCAACCCUGAUCCAGCAAUGCCGCGUGUGUGAAGAAGGCCUUAGGGUUGUAAAGGCACUUUCAAUGGUGAAGAAUAUGGACGGGUAGCCGGUAGAAAGAAGCCCCCGGCCUAACCUUCUCGUGCCAGCAGCCCGCGGGUAAUACGAAGGGGGCGAGACGUUGGUUCCGGAAUAUACUGGGCGUAAAGGGCGGCGCANGGCGGCCACAUCUCAAGUCCAGGUGUGAAAGCCCCGGGCUUAACCUGGGAACUGCACCUGAUACUGAUUGGCUAAAAAACGGAAGAAGGGCAGUGGGAAUUUC
rnacentral:rRNA from 1 species